rnacentral:rRNA from 1 species
AUUGAACGCUGGCGGCAGGCCUAACACAUGCAAGUCGAACGGUAACAGAAAGCGGCUUGCUGCUUUGCUGACGAGUGGCGGACGGGUGAGUAAUGUCUGGGAAACUGCCUGAUGGAGGGGGAUAACUACUGGAAACGGUAGCUAAUACCGCAUAACGUCGCAAGACCAAAGAGGGGGACCUUCGGGCCUCUUGCCAUCGGAUGUGCCCAGAUGGGAUUAGCUAGUAGGUGGGGUAACGGCUCACCUAGGCGACGAUCCCUAGCUGGUCUGAGAGGAUGACCAGCCACACUGGAACUGAGACACGGUCCAGACUCCUACGGGAGGCAGCAGUGGGGAAUAUUGCACAAUGGGCGCAAGCCUGAUGCAGCCAUGCCGCGUGUAUGAAGAAGGCCUUCGGGUUGUAAAGUACUUUCAGCGGGGAGGAAGGGAGUAAAGUUAAUACCUUUGCUCAUUGACGUUACCCGCAGAAGAAGCACCGGCUAACUCCGUG